UGUAGUGUCACAUAGUCAACUUCAUCCCCUUCAGUUUACUGACAUAAAUCUAAAUUCCACUGUCAUCACAGAUCAAAAAGCUCAGCUAUCUGUAGUGUUUCACAGUAGUAAAAAGUUUGUGUUAUGUGCUAUUAAUAUUCAUAAACUAUUGAUGUUUUAAUGCUUUUUAAAAAUAUCAGUUCUGAAAUAACAAUAUGCCAGAUGUCAGACUCAUCAGGUACCUUUAAGCUGCAGCCAUACUGCAUGCUUUAUUGACAUAAAUGUUUUUUAUAAUUCACUAGUGAAACUGAAUUUAGCAGAUACUUUCUUUUGGAAGUGAAAGACAUCAUAAAUCUUAUCAGAUGUUCCUUUUUCAAAAGAUUUAAAUUAAUUCGAGUCUUCAUAAAAAUGAGUGUAACAACACACAUUUGGUUAAAAAUUAUAACAGUAUCCAUAACACUAUUCUAUUGGCAACAGCCACACACUCUGUCACAACUGUAAAUUUUACAAUUUUUACAUGUUUAGGUAGCCAAAACGGUGCUAUAUUCAAAGAUGUCUUAUUAUCCUGUUACUUUUUCGUGCUAUAAGCAUAUUUAGGCUCUAUGGCCAUUAUCGAGCUCUUUCCAUAGUAAACUGUCAACACUGUCACUGUCUGGGACCUGCUGCUGCUGUGUAUCAUGGAUGUAGUGCAGACAAACAGACACGUACAUCGCCUUUCCAGUUCCACACAAGAACCGCAUGUAAUGGAUAUCAACUUCACAACUGAUGAACAAAAAUUACGUCAUAAGGGCGUUUAAUAUGAUUUACAACCAAAACUGAACAUGAAAAAAAGAUGUAACACUGUUGACUUAGCUAUCAACUGAAGCUGUAAAAAAAAAAUUAAACAGUAUUAACGAAUAAUGCUCAGCAACGAAUUCCACAGCAGUGACAUUACACAUGUAAAAUUUUGUCUGUGCUACAUCUACAAAAUGCAGCAGUAGAAGGUGCAAGAACCCACCACUCGUACUGAACCUUGCAUGAAAUCAUACAUCUUCAGUUAUGCUAUAGUUAUUCAUUUAUUUAUCAGUAUCAACGUUUCCUGGAAUUGAAAAUUACUGAAAGCUAGUAUUUAUGACCUAUGGACUCCUCCUAAUAUCUGAGUAGCAAAAGGCGAUUUCUGUUAGCAAAUAUUUCGUAAUAAUUAUUACUUGAUUUGCACUACAAUAAAUAUACUUUCCCUAUGUAUCUCUUUGCUGAUGUCGUGAGCAAUUUCUACAUUACAUUAACACUUGUUCCAUAGGCCAUGAAUAUGACGUUUUCAAAUGAUGAGAGUCCAUUUCCACAUAAUAAUUUUUUCAAAGACAUUAUUUACAGUUUCCUCAGCUCAUUCUUGUUUGUUGGGUAUGAUUAUUGUACUCGUAUCAUCAGCAAAAACAACUAGCUUUGCAUCUUCAUGAAUAUAGAGUGGCAAACCAUUAAUAUAUAUUAAGAACAAUAAGGGACCCAAGACUGAACCCCAUGCAACACCAUUCUUGACACCUCCCCGGUUAGAGGUCUCUGCUGAUUUUUGCAGACUAUCUGUACUGUUAAUUUCAACCUUCUGCAUUUUUCUAGUUAAAUAUGAAUUAAAACAUUUGUGCACUAUCCCACUCAGUUGCCCUGGUUCCCUCUUAAUAAUAUUCCAAAUUGUUUUAAUUUUAUUAUCAGAAGUGCUUAUCUCAGACAUAAUGUACACACUUCUGAACUUUUAAGUAACUUUUCUUAAUACAGUUCAGUAGUUUUUAUAAUGUUUCACUGUUUCUGGAUUAUUACUCCUUCUAGCUGUAAGAUACACUUCCUUUUUCUUUUUAGUAGACAUUUUUAUCCCUUUAGUAAUCCAUUGAUUUUUUGACAGUUUCUUAUAAUUAUAUUUCACUGUUUACUUAGGGUUACUAUUUUCAGAUAUAUUCACAAAAGUAUCAUGAAAUAGGUCAAAUUUUAAAGUAUCCUCAGGUUCCCUGUACACCUCAUCCCAAUCCAACUGUUGGAAGCUUUCCCUGAAAUCUGCAAUUCUGAAAUCGUUAAUUGAACACACUAUUUUGGAGGAAUGUAUUGAAUUACUCUUUGAGUUAUGUCAUAUACUAUAACUAGCUGUGCAUCAAGAUCAGACAGACCAUUCUUAAGAGAAAAUUUAUCUUGGUCUUAAAAACAUUAUCUAUCAGCAUGCUGCUUUCCUGUACCACCCAAGUAGGAAAAUCAAUGACUGAUGUCAAAGUGAAAGAACCAAGUAAUAUUUCAAGGUCAUGCUUUCUACUGGACUUUAUCAGUAAAUCUGCAUUGAUAUCACCACAAACUAUAAUUUGCUUCCCUCUGUCUGACAGAUAGCACAACAAAAAAUCCAAGUUUUUCAAAAAUAACUGAAUAUUUCCCAGUGAGGAACUAUACACAGCUACAAUUAUAUAGGUACCAUUAUUUAGUUUAAGCUCACACACACAUUCUUCUAUAUGUUGCUCCACACAAAAUUUUUUAGUUUCUAAAUUUUUCACACUAUGAUAAAUUUUAACAUUGGCAUCUCAUCCCAUUGGCUCUGAAAGUGCCAGAUGGCCAACCACUUCUGAUAGCCAGCAUGGGAACCUACCACUCCCUCCUUACUCUAUACAUACUGCAGCGCUACUACAUUUACUUCACAUAUGUGAAAUAGCAAAACUGGAAAUAAAAUAAAAUGCUCUCAUAUCGGAAAAUCAGACAGUGACUGCAUUAACAAUGUGCUAUGAAAAUAGCCUGAUAAAGAGCAUGGAACCGAAAUAAGUUUGUAGCACGUAAAAAUAACAUUGUAUAAAAGGUCUUUGAAUAUAGCAUUGUUUUGGCUCAUGAUGUGUUUCUGAAAAUAUUACUGGGAUGCCAGAAACUGUGUGCUUUAACGUUCUGUAAAUAUUUUAUUGUUUUUGUUAUUAUUUUAUUACUAUUAUUAUUUUCAGAGUAAUCAUUUGUGGAGUUAUUAAUACUUUCAUGUUGAUACGCAGUGAGAGUUAAAUGUAUUAUGGAUUAAUUUGCAAUAAACCUAUAUGAGACAGCAACAA